rnacentral:rRNA from 1 species
AGAUCAGUCUUGUCUAGUAUAGCACUUUAUACUGUGAAACUGCGAAUGGCUCAUUAAAUCAGUUAUCGUUUAUUUGAUAGUACCUUACUACAUGGAUACCUGUGGUAAUUCUAGAGCUAAUACAUGCUACAAACCCCGACUUCAGGAAGGGGUGUAUUUAUUAGAUAAAAAACCAACGCCCUUCGGGGCUCCUUGGUGAAUCAUAAUAACUUAACGAAUCGCAUGGCCUUGCGCCGGCGAUGGUUCAUUCAAAUUUCUGCCCUAUCAACUUUCGAUGGUAGGAUAGUGGCCUACCAUGGUGGCAACGGGUAACGGGGAAUUAGGGUUCGAUUCCGGAGAGGGAGCCUGAGAAACGGCUACCACAUCCAAGGAAGGCAGCAGGCGCGCAAAUUACCCAAUCCCGAUACGGGGAGGUAGUGACAAUAAAUACUGAUACGGGGCUCUUUCGGGUCUCGUAAUUGGAAUGAGAACAAUUUAAAUCCCUUAACGAGGAACAAUUGGAGGGCAAGUCUGGUGCCAGCAGCCGCGGUAAUUCCAGCUCCAAUAGCGUAUAUUAAAGUUGUUGCAGUUAAAAAGCUCGUAGUUGAACCUUGGGCCUGGCUGGCCGGUCCGCCUCACCGCGAGUACUGGUCCGGCUGGGCCUUUCCUUCUGGGGAACCUCAUGGCCUUCACUGGCUGUGGGGGGAACCAGGACUUUUACUGUGAAAAAAUUAGAGUGUUCAAAGCAGGCCUUUGCUCGAAUACAUUAGCAUGGAAUAAUAGAAUAGGACGUGCGGUUCUAUUUUGUUGGUUUCUAGGACCGCCGUAAUGAUUAAUAGGGAUAGUCGGGGGCGUCAGUAUUCAGCUGUCAGAGGUGAAAUUCUUGGAUUUGCUGAAGACUAACUACUGCGAAAGCAUUCGCCAAGGAUGUUUUCAUUAAUCAGGGAACGAAAGUUAGGGGAUCGAAGACGAUCAGAUACCGUCGUAGUCUUAACCAUAAACUAUGCCGACUAGGGAUCGGACGGGAUUCUAUGAUGACCCGUUCGGCACCUUACGAGAAAUCAAAGUUUUUGGGUUCUGGGGGGAGUAUGGUCGCAAGGCUGAAACUUAAAGAAAUUGACGGAAGGGCACCACAAGGCCUUGGAGCCUGCGGCUUAAUUUGACUCAACACGGGGAAACUCACCAGGUCCCAGACAAAAUAAGGAUUGACCGAUUGAGAGCUCUUCUUUGAUCUUUUGGAAGGGGGGGCAUGGCCCGUUCUUAAUUGGGGGGAGGGAAUUUGCUCGCUUAAUUGGGAAAAACAACAAAGAACUCCGGCCCUUUAAAUAAUCCCGGGCCGCCAUCUUGGGGGCGGCUGGGUUUUUUUAUGGGGGAUAAUUCGCUCUCAACCCCAAAAAAAAGUGCCCGGCCAAUAAAAGGUU